rnacentral:rRNA from 1 species
UUAUUGGGCGUAAAGCGCGCGCAGGCGGUUUCUUAAGUCUGAUGUGAAAGCCCCCGGCUCAACCGGGGAGGGUCAUUGGAAACUGGGGAACUUGAGUGCAGAAGAGGAGAGUGGAAUUCCACGUGUAGCGGUGAAAUGCGUAGAGAUGUGGAGGAACACCAGUGGCGAAGGCGACUCUCUGGUCUGUAACUGACGCUGAGGCGCGAAAGCGUGGGGAGCGAACAGGAUUAGAUACCCUGGUAGUCCACGCCGUAAACGAUGAGUGCUAAGUGUUAGAGGGUUUCCGCCCUUUAGUGCUGCAGCAAACGCAUUAAGCACUCCGCCUGGGGAGUACGGUCGCAAGACUGAAACUCAAAGGAAUUGACGGGGGCCCGCACAAGCGGUGGAGCAUGUGGUUUAAUUCGAAGCAACGCGAAGAACCUUACCAGGUCUUGACAUCCUCUGACAACCCUAGAGAUAGGGCUUCCCCUUCGGGGGCAGAGUGACAGGUGGUGCAUGGUUGUCGUCAGCUCGUGUCGUGAGAUGUUGGGUUAAGUCCCGCAACGAGCGCAACCCUUGAUCUUAGUUGCCAGCAUUCAGUUGGGCACUCUAAGGUGACUGCCGGUGACAAACCGGAGGAAGGUGGGGAUGACGUCAAAUCAUCAUGCCCCUUAUGACCUGGGCUACACACGUGCUACAAUGGGCAGAACAAAGGGCAGCGAAGCCGCGAGGCUAAGCCAAUCCCACAAAUCUGUUCUCAGUUCGGAUCCCAGU